ensembl:lncRNA
GGCAAGGAGCACCAUGCUUGGCACAUGGAAAGAGCUUAGUAAAUAGUAGCUACUCUUAUUAGUCUGUUGUGGAGCUAAUUGGGAAUGAACAUGACUUAUUCACACAGUGAGGAGUGCUCAACCAGCCUGUCUUGUUAGUCUCUUUGUUAACCACCUUGCAACUGGAAUUUUUCUCUUUUGCCCUUCAAAUGCAUCUAAUCUGAGGAUUCCCUCCAGCCUCCUGCUGGCUGCAAAAAUCCAGCAGGAAUCUGCUUCUGCAGGGGCUGGCUUCCCAUCUGGCUGGAAUCACCCGCCAGCCACCCACAGCACGAGCACCUCACAAAUUAGGGAGAUCAGGAGCAGCCACUUCAGACAGUUCGCAGGCCGCAGGGUGCCGAUUGGUGGCAGAACCACUUGCUGAAGCUGAAAUUAACAGGUUUCUUGGGUUGAAGGCUUUAAUUAAAAAAUGCUAGGGAAUUAUUUCCUUAAUUCAGAGACUUCUUAGUAAUCACUUUCCCCUGCUUUGCCCUGAGACUCUUUAUCUUCAGCUAGAUUAAUAGAUGGUCUCAACAGCCUGAGCACAGGACCUGAGGCUGGAGUUUUGGGUUGUCAAAUGAGCUUUGCUGCCUCUUCCUCUGGGAAAUCUAGACUCAGUUCCCUCCAGGGGUGGCCACUGCCCCCUGCUCCUGCCUCCCGACAGGGCCCUGAGAUGCCUGCUUAUCCUCUUAUCCUGGGGCAGAGGCUUCAUCAGGACAGGACCAUGGCUGUUGUGCCAUCUUCACUCCAGCCCCAGCACAGGGCCUGGCUCUGAGAGACUGCCUGGAAACACGAGACAUGGGUUCAAUCCCUGAUCCGGGAAGAUCCCAUGCAUCACGGAUCUACAAAGCCCAUGUAUCACAACUAUUGAGCCUGCGCUCUGGAGCCCGUGAGCCACAGCCACUGAGCCCACGCACUGAAACCACUGAGCCCACGCGCCCUAGAGCCCGUGCCUGCAACCAGAGAAGCCUCUGCAACGAGAAGCCGAGAAUAGGUCCCGCUCGCUCACCACAGCUAGAGGAAAACCUGCACACCAAUGAAGACCCAGC